UACAUGGGGUGCAAACGUUGCUCGGAAUUAUUGGGCGUAAAGCGCACGUAGGUGGUCUGUUAUGCCAGAUGUGAAAGCCCUCGGCUUAACUGAGGAAGUGCACCUGAAACUGGCAGGCUUGAGUACGAAAGAGGGUCGCGGAAUUCCCGGUGUAGAGGUGAAAUUCGUAGAUAUCGGGAGGAACACCGGUGGCGAAGGCGGCGACCUGGUUCGAUACUGACACUGAGGUGCGAAAGCGUGGGGAGCAAACAGG
rnacentral:rRNA from 1 species